AAACCAACAGGGAUUGCCUUAGUAACGGCGAGUGAAGCGGCAAAAGCUCAAAUUUGAAAGCUAGCACCUUCGGUGUUCGCGUUGUAAUUUGAAGAUAGUUUCCUUGAGUAGUCCUUUAUCUAUGUUCCUUGGAACAGGACGUCAUAGAGGGUGAGAACCCCGUAUGAUUUUGGAUACUACUCUUUGUGGGAUUCUAUCGAAGAGUCGAGUUGUUUGGGAAUGCAGCUCUAAGUGGGUGGUAAAUUCCAUCUAAAGCUAAAUAUUGGCGAGAGACCGAUAGCGAACAAGUACAGUGAUGGAAAGAUGAAAAGAACUCUGAAGAGAGAGUGAAAAAGUACGUGAAAUUGCUGAAAGGGAAGGGCUUGAGGUCAGACUUGGUGUUUAAUGAUUAUCAGUUCUUCUUGGACUGUGCACUCGUUUUUCACCGGGCCAAUAUCAGUUUUAGCGGUAGAGUACCCCUUGAAAUGUGGCUUCCUUCGGGGAGUGUUAUAGUCUUGGGGAGAUCUACUUGCUGGGACUGAGGACUGCGCUUCGGCAAGGAUAUUGGCGUAAUGACCUUAAGCCGCCCGUCUUGAAACACGGACCA
rnacentral:rRNA from 1 species